CUGUAGGAUUGCGUAUUGGUGUUCGUAACACGCAGCGGAAGACAACAACAAUCCUAGGUAGAUUUUCUCGUGUUUAAAAUUUAUUUACGUAUAAAAUAGGAUUUAAGACGUACCUGGUGAAGAGAGCUUCUUUUCUUGGUUUCUUCGAUAGUACGAAGACUCUAUGCGUAUCCACACCGAGACCGAUCCUUGCUAUCAACU
rnacentral:lncRNA from 1 species